UACGUAGGGUGCAAGCGUUGUCCGGAAUUAUUGGGCGUAAAGAGCUCGUAGGCGGUUUGUUGCGUCGGCUGUGAAAUCCCGAGGCUCAACCUCGGGUCUGCAGUCGAUACGAGCAAACUAGAGUGUUGCAGGGGAGACUGGAAUUCCUGGUGUAGCGGUGAAAUGCGCAGAUAUCAGGAGGAACACCGGUGGCGAAGGCGGGUCUCUGGGCAACAACGUGACG
rnacentral:rRNA from 1 species